UAAGACGUAGAAGGCAAGCGUCAUCCGGAUUUAUUGGGCGUAAAGAGGGUGUAGGCGGUUCUUCAAGUCGGAUGUAAAAUCUCCCGGCUCAACUGGGAGGGAUCAUUCGAUACUGUUGGGCUAGAGUGCAGCAGGGGGAGAUGGAAUUCCCGGUGUAGUGGUGAAAUGCGUAGAUAUCGGGAGGAACACCAGUGGCGAAGGCGGUCUCCUGGGCUGUUACUGACGCUGAGACCCGAAGGCGUGGGGAGCGAACAGGAUUAGAUACCCUGGUAGUCCACGCAGUAAACGAUGGACACUAGGUAUGGGGGGUAUCGACCCCCUCCGUGCCGAAGUUAACGCUUUAAGUGUCCCGCCUGGGGAGUACGAUCGCAAGACUA
rnacentral:rRNA from 1 species